GGAGGGUGGGCCGGACGGUAAGGUAAUGGUUUCGAAAACCAUCGGGUGAAAGCCCUAGCAGGUUCGACUCCUGCACCCUCCGCCU
rnacentral:tRNA from 3 species